UACGUAGGGUGCAAGCGUUGUCCGGAAUUAUUGGGCGUAAAGAGCUCGUAGGCGGUCUGUCGCGUCUGCUGUGAAAACUCGGGGCUUAACCCCGGGCCUGCAGUGGGUACGGGCAGACUAGAGUGCGGUAGGGGAGACUGGAAUUCCUGGUGUAGCGGUGAAAUGCGCAGAUAUCAGGAGGAACACCGGUGGCGAAGGCGGGUCUCUGGGCCGAUACUGACGCU
rnacentral:rRNA from 1 species